UCUCGAAAUUUACGCCGCGCAACGGUUGC
rnacentral:sRNA from 1 species